CGGGCGCGCGUGACGGGAGCUCUGGCAUCCGAAGACUCAUCGUCAGGUUGAGUCUCUUUUACCAAGGCUGAUUUUCCUUGUCCCUGAGCCCAAAAUCGAACCCCUCCCCAUCCCUACAGUUUGACGCGGUCAGCAGCGGAUCGAGAACCACAUGCUCGCCGGUAGUGUGCGCAAAAAGAGCGCAUUUGUGCCCACGGGCGUGCGUGGCUCAGCUAGUCUGGAGUGUGUGCACUGGAGGCUCUGAAGGGGCCACUAUAGCCGAGGGAGUGUGCACCGUGUGUGUGAAGUUGGUGCUGACUCUGCCAGAACUUCUGGUCCCUCCUCCUCCCUCCCUGAUUGCAUCAUUAGUGCUAAUUGAGGGGCUUUCACACGCCAGUGCAUUAGCUGUUUGGAGUGAGCUCCCCCCUCCUGAGAGAGAUAAGCCGCUGCACCUCCCCCUCUCAGCCCUUCACUUCCCCACCGCCCUGGAACUGUCCACCUAUAUCCUCUCUCCUUACUGGGCACCUUCCUGCUCCCUCUGAUCCUGAAUGGCUCAACCUCUCUUCUCCCCGUAGUGUCUGAGAUUGGCUGGAGAGGAGCCAGGGGGGAGGAUGAUGAUGACCGAGAGCCCCCUCUUUUAGGUUGAUCAGGAAGGGGUGAUUUUCCCGUCGAAGAGGUCUGGGAUUCCCGCAGAAUGCAGAAUGACUGCUGACAGAGGGGCAGGAAUCUGUGGCCCGGCCUGUUGACCAUGGAAGGUCUGAGGAGAGGCUUGAGUCCUUGAUCUCCAGCCUGUGGAGAUCACACUGAGACCUGCUAAGGCACUGUCCAUGAUGGCUGGGCAUAGACCUGAAAGGCUAGAACAUGGAUCAGGAGGAUGAACACAGUGUGGUGGCUGCCCAAAUGGAGGAGUUCCCUGAGCAGUUCAAAAUGGGCACAAGCAGAAGUUUUAACAGGAAGCGUAGUCCUGAAAGGGGAAACCUGGCUGAUGAGAGAAGACAGCUCCCUCCCAGCCACUGUUUGUCCCCCGGGCUCACAGCUGAGUGAUGGUAGCAAAAGAAGGACUGAGAUGCCUCCUGCCAAGGGAGGAAGUGGCAGCAUCUCCUGACCCUCCAGAGACAGCUCUUCCUUUGGCCAUCUGUUGGGAGAGGCUCUUCCCUGAACCUGUGUGUGAUCGCAGGUAAGAAAAGGCUGGGGUGCAGUAAGAAGCAGAAGCCACGCUCUCUGAAAUUGCCUGGGUGCUCUAGAAUUGACCCUCAGAGUUGUUUCCAUUGGAGGCAAUUUGGAAAAGGUAUUUGAGAGAGAAAGUCCCGAUUCAGAAAACCUUUCUGCCAAGUCCUUUGUUUUCCUAAUGUUGCCGCCGUGUCUGGAGCUGAAUUUUAA